CCACCGCGGUUAUACGAGAGGCCCCAGUUGAUGGACACGGCGUAAAGGGUGGUUAAGGUAAGAUUAAAAUAAGGCUAAAGGAUUUCUUGGCUGUCAUACGCCCCUGAAACCCCGAAACCCAAACACGAAAGUAGCUUUAACACAAGCCCACCUGACCCCACGAAAGCUGAGGAGCAAACUGGGAUUAGAUACCCCACUAUGCUCAGCUAUAAACUUAGACGUUAAAUUACAACAAACGUCCGCCAGGGUACUACGAGCGUCAGCUUAAAACCCAAAGGACUUGGCGGUGCCUUAGACCCCCCUAGAGGAGCCUGUUCUAGAACCGAUAACCCCCGUUAAACCUCACCACUCCUAGUCAACCCCGCCUAUAUACCGCCGUCGUCAGCUUACCCUGUGAAGGACAUAUAGUAAGCAAAAUGGACAAAGUCCAAAACGUCAGGUCGAGGUGUAGCGAACGAAGUGGGAAGAAAUGGGCUACAUUUUCUGCCACAGAACAACACGAACAGCAUUAUGAAACUUAGUGCUCAAAGGAGGAUUUAGUAGUAAAAAGGAAAUAGAGUGUCCUUUUGAACCCGGCUCUGAGGCGCGUACACACCGCCCGUCACUCUCCCCGCCCCAAGCGAUAAAGGUAUUUAACACCAAAGCACAAACAAGGGGAGGCAAGUCGUAACAUG
rnacentral:rRNA from 1 species